rnacentral:lncRNA from 1 species
AGGCGUCGGGCCGGAACUCGUGCUGACUAGUUCGCGCAAGUUUCGGUCCGAGCCGGUCCUCUUGGUAAGCUACUAGCUAUUCUAGUACGUGGUAGCAGUUUAGAUUUGUCUCAUGUCUCUAUCAAGUGGAAAAUCCCCCGUGCCAAUCGCGCACACCAAGUGCUUGUGAAAAUGCCUAAAUUAUAUCUAAGUUCUGCAAGUUUGUUGAAGCCUGGAGAUGGUUGUUCUUCGUUUAUGUCUGUUCCGACUUGAUUAACUGGUCCAUGAGCGGAUUUUUAGUAUGGCUUGUGCAUGUAGUGUUGAUGUCUGCCCCAAAUCUAUGUCCCAAGUGAGACUAGGUUCCUUUUGUUAACUGGUGCAUCCUAUAUGUUCGACUAAAUGCUUCAAAGAAGGCCGAAGGCUAGUACAUUUUUUU